CGAACGGGUGAGUAACGCGUGAGGAACCUGCCUCAAAGAGGGGGACAACAGUUGGAAACGACUGCUAAUACCGCAUAAGCCCACGGCUCGGCAUCGAGCAGAGGGAAAAGGAGUGAUCCGCUUUGAGAUGGCCUCGCGUCCGAUUAGCUAGUUGGUGAGGUAACGGCCCACCAAGGCAACGAUCGGUAGCCGGACUGAGAGGUUGAACGGCCACAUUGGAACUGAGACACGGUCCAA
rnacentral:rRNA from 1 species